GUUUUACUGUAAAGCACUUUUUUAGAAGACUAAUACCUGUGAAUUUAUUCUAAGAAUAAGCACCGGCUAAUUACGUGCCAGCAGCCGCGGUAAUACGUAAGGUGCUAGCGUUAGUCGGUUUUAUUUGGCGUAAAGCGUGUGUAGGCUGAUUAUUGUGAAGAUUGUUAAAUUGCAAGGCUCAACUUUGUUGUGUAAUUUUUACUAAUAGUCUUUGAACUUGGAUGGAGAUAAUGGAAUUUUGCAAGUAACAGUGAAAUGUUUAGAUAUGCAAAGGAACACCGAUAGCGAAGGCAAUUAUCUUGUUUAAAGUUGACGCUGAUACACUAAAGCGUGGGGAGCAAACAGGAUUAGAUACCCUGGUAGUCCACGCCCUAAACGUUGUCAACUAAUUGUUUGUACGAGUGAUAUAGCUAACGCGUUAAGUUGACCGCCUGGGGACUACGGUCGCAAGAUUAAAACUCAAAGGAAUUGACGGGGACCCGCACAAGCGGUGGAUGAUGUGGAUUAAUUCGAUGCAACACGAAGAACCUUACCUACUUUUGACAUGUACAGUAUUUGCUUGAGAGAGCGAAGUGCCUGUAACACAGGUGCUGCAUGGCUGUCGUCAGCUCGUGUCGUGAGAUGUUGGGUUAAGUCCUAUAACGAGCGUAACCCUUUUCUUAUGUUGCUAAAGCACUCUUGAGAUACUG
rnacentral:rRNA from 1 species